rnacentral:rRNA from 1 species
AUUGAACGCUGGCGGCAGGCCUAACACAUGCAAGUCGAGCGAGCGGCGGACGGGUGAGUAAUGUAUGGGGACUGCCCGAUAGAGGGGGAUAACUACUGGAAACUGUGGCUAAUCCCGCAUACUAUCGGAUAACCCAUAUGGGAGUAGUUAGUUUGUGAGGUAAAGGCUCACCAAUCCGACGAUCUCUAGCUGGUCUGAGAGGAUGACGAGCCACAGUGGGAAUGGACCACGGCCCGAACUCCUACGGAGGCAGCAGUGGGGAAUAUUGCGCAAUGGGGGAAACCCUGACGCAGCCAUGCCGCGGGAAUGAAGAAGGCCUUCGGGUUUUAAAGUUCUUUCGGUAGCGAGGCGUUAACUACAGAAGAAGCACCGGCUAACUCCGUGCCAGCAGCCGCGGUAAUAC